rnacentral:lncRNA from 1 species
UUUCAGUUGCGAGAGCAGAGCUUAGAGAAAAAAAAAAAAGAAAAUGGCAAAAAGCGACGUGAAGGUUUUGGGUGCGUGGCCAAGCCCAUUUGUGAUGAGGGCAAGAAUCGCACUUAAGAUCAAGUCUGUGGAGUAUGAGUUUCUGGAGGAGAAUUUGGGAUCCAAAAGCGAGCUUCUGCUUAAAUCAAACCCUGUUCACAAGAAAAUCCCAGUUCUGAUUCACAAUGAUAAGCCUGUUUGCGAAUCUCUCAUCAUUGUCGAGUACGUGGAUGAGGCUUGGUCCUCUUCAGGUCCCUCUAUUCUUCCUUCUGAUCCUUAUGACCGUGCCGUUGCUCGUUUCUGGGCCGCUUAUGUUGAUGAGAAGGUACAGUUUCCUUUCUUUGUUUUGUAGAAGAUGUUUUAAGUCAAUUCUUUUUAUUCGAAUUAUGUGCAUCUAAAAUUUUUUAAAACUUUUUCAGUUUUGAAAACUGUUUUCGGAAAUUAAUAGUCUCUCUUGUUAAAUCAAAGAGGUAAAGUGUGUGAUUGGAAUUAUUUCCGGUGGAAAAAUGAACUUGAAAAGAAAACUAAAGAAAGAUUAAGAAAGCAGAGCCCAAGAGGAAAACAAUCAAUAGAAUCUGGAAGUUUGAUUUUUCAUAAAACGGGCUUUCUAGAGACCCCCAAUAACCAAUUCUCGCAUUAAUUGCUAAGGAGCACUUUCAAGUCUCUCGACUCCCGAGCCUCCUAAGCCUUGUCCUUAAAACUAUCGUUCGAUAAAUCGAACGCUAGACGAACAGAAAGCAGGUAAGCCCUUAAAAGAAAAGCUUUGAAGGUAACUGUGCCAAGUAUGGGCUCACGCUCUUCGCAGGCUCCGGCCUCUUUAGGGUUUGGGCAUACUAAGUAUGUAGCAGAGCCCAAAAGGAAAACGAUCAAUAGAAUCUAGAAGUAAAUCUGGAGAAGUGACAUAUACUCACAUAUCUAAGGAAAUAAAUAUAUAUGAAUCUUAAGAGAUGAUACUGAUAGAGAUUGGAGAGAUAGCAAGAACGAAUCUUUAACUUGACAUAAAGCAUAUAAGAAUCAAUUGGUAGUGAUUGAAAUCUCGCCUUGAUUGAUCAAAUUAUGAUAUAUCUAUUAUGAUUUGCAGUUGUUCCCUGCCUUGAAAAGCAUUGGUAGUGGAGAUGGAGCGGAAGCUAAGAAAGCUGCGAUUGAGCAAUUGAUUGAAGGCUUGGUUUUGCUGGAGGAUGCUUUUGUUAAGUGUAGCAAAGGGAAGCCUUUCUUUGGUGGAAGCCAAAUUGGGUUUCUUGACAUUGCAUUUGGUUGCUACUUGGGAUGGGUGAGAGUGACAGAGAAAAUGAAUGAGGUGAAGCUCCUUGAUGAAGUCAAAACUCCUGGACUGUUCAAAUGGGCUGAGAGAUUCUGUGCUGAUGCCGCUGUCAAAGAUGUUAUGCCUGAGACUGAUAAGCUUGCAGAGUUUGCUAAGGUUCUUGCCAAACUCAGAGCUUCUGGCAAAUGGAAUUAAGAAGCUUAAUUCUGUGCCUGGAGGGGCACAAAAAAAAAGAAAAAGAAAAAAAAAAGAGUUGUUUCCAGAAAUAAAUUCGAAUAAGGAUUAAGUUUUGUUUUUGGUUUAGUUUGGAACGGUAAAGCCUGUAUCAUUUGGGUUCUGUUAUCGGGCUAGGCAGCAGCCUCUCUCGUGUCUCCUAAAAUUGAAAUUCCUUUCAGUCAUCUGCUGCAAAGAGCUCAUUAUCUAUACUCAUGUAUACCAAGUGAAGGUAUAAAGGUUACUGUGUUGUUUUUCUCCGCAGAAUUUUUUCCCACAUACGGUACACAUCUGGGCUACGUGCCAUAUUCGUUGUUAUAAAAGUUAUCGUAUUAUGUAACGGUGGAAUUCCCGCAUGGCAUUUUGCAAGAAUUAACGAUUUUCGAACUCAAUAAUCUUAAAUAUUUGAGUUGCAAUCUGAAUUCUGUUGCACUUAUCAAUUGAAUAGUAUAAUAGAGGAAUAAAUAAUUUUGUAUUUAUCAUUCCAUAGAUGAGUAAUACAUGGUAUCAAAAUUUUAAGUUAGAAUUUAAAUAUUAAAAUCUGUUUGGGCAUAUGGCUAAAAUCAAUUCACAAUCUUUAUCAUCCUAAAAUGAGACUUUGGCGACGAGCACACUGCUGGACAAAGUAGUUAUUAAUAAUCAUAUCAAAACUGAUUAAAAUGACCAUCAAACAUGUGUUGAUUGAAUAAAUUGUGUGCAGAAUUUGAUAUUCUGUUAUUCUCUUUCCCAGAAAUCAAUUCUUAACACCACCACCACACCAGAACUGUAUACAUUUCACUAGUUUCAGUCAACCGAAACGGCCGGUAAAAUACGGUCUGUAUACCCGGCCCUACCCUGAGGCCCAACUCGUCCUGACUUCGUCGGACCCUAACCAAAGUUAUUAAACAAGAAGCUGCGCUAAGCCACCGAGAGUCUGAGACUGCAGCGCCAGUCCCCAUUUAAACGGGAAAAACAAAAAAAAGAGAGAAAAAAUGGCAACACUGAAGAAAAUCCCUUUGGUUCUGAUGGGAUGCGGAGGCGUCGGACGCCAGCUCCUCCAGCACAUUGUUUCCUGCCGAUCACUUCAUGCCAAUCUGGUACUCCUUCUCUACUUUCCAAAGUUUAUUAGCGCCCCCAAAUUAACUAAUUAAUUAAUUAUUUAGUAGCUAUAUAUUCAUUAAUUAUUACAUGUCGGAGAUGUAUUCUUUUGAUAUGAAUGUGCCUGUCUUCUAAUAAACUCGUCGAUGAUUCUGUUUCUAUAGAAGACUGGUAAAUUUGUUUUAACUGUAACACUUCAUGAUUGAUGAUCGGUCGGCACGGCAGGGGGUGCAUUUGCGAGUGGUAGGAGUAAGUGACAGCAAGUCAUUGGUUGUUGCGUCGGAUGUUUUCACAAAGGAGUUCAACGAUAACCUCUUAUCAGAAAUUUGUCGCCUCAAGGCGGACCACUCUUCUCUCUCAACGCUUAUUAGUGGUUUCGGAGGUAAUCCUCUUGUAUUGUAUUGUUGAGGAUUUAAUAGAUUACUUAUUCUGUUUAUUUCUCAUGCUUUUGCUUUUCUUUUGAUUCUUUAUCAAAGGUGAAUGCCAAGUGUUUCUCGAUUCUGAUUUGAGAGGAAAGUUAUCAGAAAUUGCAUCUCUUCUGGGUAUAUCAACAGGUUCGUCUUCGUGACAAAUUACUAUCUUACCGGCCUUUAUACUUCUUUUGAAACACUGAUUAGUUUUUCAAUCAAUUGAAGUUUCAUGUUUGUUUUUAGAGUUUAGUGAUUCUUAUCAUUCAUUCACCUCAAGCAAGGUCAUUUCAAGCUUGGUCUUUUGCUUAAUCUUGCAACAGGUUUGGCCUUUGUUGAUUGCUCUGCCAGUUCUGAGACUGUUGAAAUAUUAACUCAAGCAGUUGAUUUGGGUUGUUGCAUUGUCUUGGCAAACAAGAAGCCUCUUAUGUCUACAAUGGUAAUAACUCUACAAGGCUUCCUUAUUUGGUUGUAACUGGACUUAGUUGGACAUGUAUAGUCAUCCUAUGGCCAUUCCAUGAUCAACCACUAACAGACUUAAUUCUGGAGAUGGCGACACUUCCUGCUGUCAUUAAAUGCUGCAAUGCCAUUUCUUUUGUGGCCAAUUCGAACAUUCUAUAUUUUUACCAUUUAAGAUGAAUUACGUUUGGUGUUUAAUUCUUUUAAAAUUAAAAAUGACAAAUUUUCAUUGAGCAAUUUAGUGCAAUAUUAAUGUUUUUGAAUUUUUUUACCAACCUCAUGCUAUUCUGUAAUGUAGGAGGAUUAUGACAAAUUGGUCUCACAUCCACGCUGUAUUCGGUAUGAGUCAACUGUAAGUGAAGUUUCCUGCUUUUGUCAUAUAAAAGGAAAUCGUGGGUGAAGUGUCUCAUUUGAUGUCUGUUUCUCCAUAGGUUGGUGCUGGCCUUCCUGUCAUAGCAUCCUUAAAUCGUAUUCUUUCUUCUGGAGACCCUGUCCAUCGUAUUGUUGGAAGUCUGAGUGGUAUUGGUUUUCUUUUCUUUUCUUUUCUUUUUUUUUUUGGGUUAGACAUUUAUUCUUCCUUCACAUAUGAAGUUCAUGCUUUUCCUGUAUCUGCUUGUAUUUUUUUGCAACCAUAUUUCAUAUAUGAAUAUUGGCUGUCAUUUGCAUAAUAUAUUUUGUAUUAGGUACAUUGGGGUAUGUAAUGAGCAAGGUUGAAGAUGGGAAGCCACUUAGUCAAGUUGUUAAAGCUGCUAAAAGCCUGGGAUACACUGAACCAGGUUUAAUUGUGAUUUUAAAUUUCUAUAUUGCAGUAGAUCAUAUCUUUUCUAUAAGUAUAUUCAGUUGCAUCUUCUAAUUUUGUUUAUGCAUGCUUACAAAUUUAUAUUAAAAUAUUUACACAAUUUAAUUCUUAUUAUUUUUCGUUUAUGGACUUUUUUUUUUUGGCUGUAAUAUUGUUUUUCCAAAUAUUCAUGCAUUAAGCAUUGUUCUUUUCAGCAUUGUUUACCAUUGACCAGUGCUUUGGAAACUUGAAGCAAAAGUUUCUUCAAUUUGGUUUGGAUUAUUAAAACACAGGAAUAGCCUGGUUUGCUUUGGUUACUUUCUUUGUCAGGUUUAUAAAGCUAUCUAAUCCUGUGGGGUAUUUUACACUUUAUGAAUUUGUUGAAGUGACAGACUGAUGACAAUUGAACCCAAGCAACUCAUCGGUACUUGUAAUUAUGGUGGAAUUCCUGAGUUUGUGGUUAUGAAAACUCCAUUAUUAAGCUUUUACGAAGACAACUUCCACAGCUGCAGAGGAGAAGAGAAGCACCAGUGGUCUAGUGGUAGAAUAGCACCCUGCCACGGGGUUCGAUUCCCGGCUGGUGCAUGUAUUUUUGUGGCCUUUUUGCCUUUUGGGGCAUUUGUCAGAAAAUACUAUCUCCACGCGCCUUCGUAAGUCACCAGCUUUUUUAAUUCAUAAAACUCUUGGACUGUCUCCAGAUCCAUAUCUUGUGGAUGUGGUCCAGCCAUCCAGACAAAUCGCAUCUUCGACGCACUUCUUAAUUCCUACCAGUAACCGCCCUUGAGCCUUCCCAUCCAAUUCCAACGAGCUGCCAGCUUAUAAUAACAACAACUUGCUCGGUCAAAGGACGAAAGGACAAACUGUGUCAUUAUUUGUUUUCGGUCAUUUCAAUGUGUGAACACUCACUGACUCACAUCAGAAAGACCAAUAAAUAUCCAUGAAAAUGGGACAUGGCUGCGGCGCAGAAGCUGCAAGUAACAGCUUCAAACCUUCCCAUUUCCAUCACCUUGCAUUGGGACCUCUUUCUCUCUCCUCUGGCACCCGUAGAAGUUCCCCAUUGGCUGCUGUUACUGACAGAAGCCGUAACAUAAUUGAUUCCGAGCUGCCCAUUUCGUACCCCUCUAACAGUCAAACGUUCACAUUAGUGGCGUAGUUCACAUCCCCUACAUUCAUCUGGAUCUAAUUAUAAAUACACACCCCACGAAGCAAAAGACAUUUCAUUUCAGUUGCGAGAGCAGAGCUUAGAGAGAAAAAAAAAGAAAAUGGCAAAAAGUGACGUGAAGGUUUUGGGUUUUUCGCCAAGCCCAUUUGUGAUGAGGGCAAGAAUCGCACUUAAGAUCAAGUCUGUGGAGUAUGAGUUUCUGGAGGAGAAUUUGGGAUCCAAAAGCGAGCUUCUGCUUAAAUCAAACCCUGUUCACAAGAAAAUCCCAGUUCUGAUUCACAAUGAUAAGCCUGUUUGCGAAUCUCUCAUUAUUGUCGAGUACGUGGAUGAGGCUUGGUCCUCUUCAGGUCCCUCUAUUCUUCCUUCUGAUCCUUAUGACCGUGCAGUUGCUCGUUUCUGGGCCGCUUACGUUGAUGAGAAGGUAUAUUUUCCUUUCUUUGUUUUGAAAAAAAUGUUUUAAGUCAAUGCUUUUUAUUCGAAUUAUGUGCAUCUAAAAUUUUUUAAUCUUUUUCAGUUUUGAAAACUGUUUUCGGAAAUUAAUAGAGUCUCUCUUGGUAAAUCAAGGAGGUAAAGCGCGUGAUUGGAAUUAUUUCCGGUGGAAAAAUGAACUUGAAAAGAAAACUAAAGAAAGAUUAAGAAAGCAGAGCCCAAAAGGAAAACAAUCAACACAAUCUAGAAGUAAAUCUGUAGAAGUGACGUAUACUCACAUAUCUAAGGAAACAAAUAUAUAUGAAUCUUAAGAGAUGAUACUGAUAGAGAUUAGAGAGAGAGCAAGAACGAAUCUUCAACUUGACAAAAAGCAUAUAAGAAUCAAUUGGCAGGUAGUGAUUGAAAUCUGGCCUUGAUUGAUCAAAUUAUGAUAUAUCUAUUAUGAUUUGCAGUGGUUCUCUGCCUUGAGAGACAUUGGUAGUGCAAAUGGAGCGGAAGCUAAGAAAGCUGCGAUUGAGCAAUUGAUUGAAGUCUUGGUUUUGCUGGAGGAUGCUUUUGUUAAGUGCAGCAAAGGGAAGCCUUUCUUUGGUGGAAACCAAAUUGGGUUUCUUGACAUUGCAUUUGGUAGCUACUUGGGAUGGCUGAGAGUGACAGAGAAAAUGAAUGAGGUGAAGCUCCUUGAUGAAGUCAAAACUCCUGGACUGUUGAAAUGGGCUGAGAGAUUCUGUGCUGACGCUGCUGUCAAAGAUGUUAUGCCUGAGACCGAUAAGCUUGCCAAACUCAGAGCUUCUGCUCCGCCUUCCAGCUGAUUUAAGCUAAAUACUGGACAUUAGUCUAGCAAUGGAACUAAGAAACUUAAUUAUGUGCUUGAAGGGGCCCAAAAACAAAAAAAAAAAAAAAAAGAGUUGUUUUCAGAAAUUAAUUCGAAUAAGAAUUAAUGGCGACCAUAAAGUUAGUAGUUUUGUUUUUGGUUUCGUUUGGAACGGUAAAGCCUGUAUCAUUUGGGUUCUGUUAUCGGACUAGGCAGCAGCCUGUCUCGUGUCUUAUAAAAUUGAAAUUCCUUUCAGUCAUUUGCUGGAAAGAGCUUAUUAUCUAUAUAUACUCAUGUAUAAUACCAAGUAAAGGUAUGAAGGUUAUUGUGUUGUUUUUUCUCUGUGGAAUUUUUCCCCACAUACAGUACACAUCUCGGCUACGUGCCAUAUAUGGUGUUAUAAAGUUAUCGUAUUAUGUAACGGUGAAA